rnacentral:rRNA from 1 species
GACGAACGCUGGCGGCGUGCCUAAUACAUGCAAGUUGAGCGCUGAAGGUUGGUACUUGUACCAACUGGAUGAGCAGCGAACGGGUGAGUAACGCGUGGGGAAUCUGCCUUUGAGCGGGGGACAACAUUUGGAAACGAAUGCUAAUACCGCAUAAAAACUUUAAACACAAGUUUUAAGUUUGAAAGAUGCAAUUGCAUCACUCAAAGAUGAUCCCGCGUUGUAUUAGCUAGUUGGUGAGGUAAAGGCUCACCAAGGCGAUGAUACAUAGCCGACCUGAGAGGGUGAUCGGCCCCAUUGGGACUGGGACCCGGCCCCACCUCCUACGGGAGGCAGCAGUAGGGAAUCUUCGGCCAUGGACGAAAGUCUGACCGAGCAACGCCGCGUGAGUGAAGAAGGUUUUCGGAUCGUAAAACUCUGUUGGUAGAGAAGAACGUUGGUGAGAGUGGAAAGCUCAUCAAGUGACGGUAACUACCCAGAAAGGGACGGCUAACUACGUG